CCGGGACGCGCGCGCAGCCGUCUCGGCUGUUUUGUGGUGAGAAGGAAACAUUUAUUACAGUACCGUUUCUCAUGGAACAAGAACAUGUAGUUUCAUGGUGCACGGCUGCCAGAUGUUUCCCAGGUUUCAAUGUCCCAGAUAGAUAAAGGAAAAUUCGGCAAGGUCAGAAGAGAGAAGAACAGAUUUAUCACGAAAUAGGAAUGGUAACUGUGUCCCAAGUGUACAGAAGGGGAAGAAUUGAAGUCUUUCUGACAUGAAGCAAAGACACACAACAAUAAAUGAAGAUUUCUAAACCUCCAGUGACAUCAAGAAACCAAUCUGUUCCGGAUGAAAAUGAGAGAAGUUAUCUGUGUAGUGAAAAGUGUUUACAUCGGAAUGUAGACUCGACAUAUGAAGCUGCACCAGCCAUCCUACAACCACAAAGACAAAAGCCUGUGCACUAACAAUCAUGGAGCAGAAAGAGAUAAAGAGCUGGGUCUUUGAUGAUAUCAUCUGUCUCGGAUUGCCUGCCUU